rnacentral:misc_RNA from 1 species
GAUGAAGAACGUAGCGAAAUGCGAUACGUAAUGUGAAUUGCAAAUUCAGUGAAUCAUCGAGUCUUUGAACGCACAUUGCGCCCCCUGGUAUUCCGGGGGGCAUGCCUGUCCGAGCGUCAUUGCUGCCCUCAAGCACGGCUUGUGUGUUGGGCCCCGUCCUCCGAUCCCGGGGGACGGGCCCGAAAGGCAGCGGCGGCACCGCGUCCGGUCCUCGAGCGUAUGGGGCUUUGUCACCCGCUCUGUAGGCCCGGCCGGCGCUUGCCGAUCAACCCAAAUUUUUAUCCAGGUUGACCUCGGAUCAGGUAGGGAUACCCGCUGAACUUAAGCAUAUCAUAAGCGAGGA